rnacentral:rRNA from 1 species
GAUGAACGCUGGCGGCGUGCUUAACACAUGCAAGUCGAACGGUGAAGGCGGAGCUUGCUCUGCUGGAUCAGUGGCGAACGGGUGAGUAACACGUGAGCAAUCUGCCCCUGACUCUGGGAUAAGCGCUGGAAACGGCGUCUAAUACUGGAUACGAGCUGCGAAGGCAUCUUCAGCAGCUGGAAAGAACUUCGGUCAGGGAUGAGCUCGCGGCCUAUCAGCUUGUUGGUGAGGUAACGGCUCACCAAGGCGUCGACGGGUAGCCGGCCUGAGAGGGUGACCGGCCACACUGGGACUGAGACACGGCCCAGACUCCUACGGGAGGCAGCAGUGGGGAAUAUUGCACAAUGGGCGAAAGCCUGAUGCAGCAACGCCGCGUGAGGGACGACGGCCUUCGGGUUGUAAACCUCUUUUAGCAGGGAAGAAGCGAAAGUGACGGUACCUGCAGAAAAAGCGUCGGCUAACUACGUG